UUUUCUGUCCCCAGCCCCCUAAGGGAAGGUUGUCAUGAAUCAAGUGGGUGGGGUGGCCUUGAAGCUAGGCUAGCCCUGGCUGAUGGAGCCUAGAGGCAGUAUUCCAACAUCCCUGGGGGGGGGGUCUCCAACCCUGGGAAAAAGGCACACACACACAGGCACAGACACAGGCACAUACACACAAACACACACACACACAGGCACAAACACAGGCACAUACACACAAACACAGAGAGAGAGAGAGAGAGAGAGAGAGAGAGAGAGAGAGAGAGAGAGAGAGAGAGAGAGAGAGAGAGAGAGAGGAGCAUUCUCUCUCUAGUGUCUGUGUGUAUUUGUGGGUGCGUAUAUUUCUCUGUGUGUCUCUCUGUCUCUGUCUCUCUCACAAACACACACACACAGGAGCAAGAGCAUUCUCUCUCUCGUGUGUGUGGUGUGUGUGUAUUUCUCUGUGUGUCUCUCUGUCAUGUCUCUCUCACAGGCUCACAGAGACAUGAGAGCAUGCGCUGUCUAUCUCUGUUUCUCUCACACAACACACACACACACACACACACACACACACACACACACACACUCCCUCGUUAACGUCACCACCACCACUGGCACCCAGGAAAGCAUGAGUCUUCCCAGCUCCCCACGCAGCCUGCUGAGCCAUUUUCUGAGUAGGCUCCCCCUUCCCACCCCCCACCCCACUCUGCAACAUUUCCAAAGGAGAGAAUAAAGAAUGCAUGCUCAUUCAUAACGCCCUGCCACAAAUACUCUACAUGGAGCCUGUGCCAGUCCCUGGGGAUACAGACAUCUAGAAGACAGAGGAAUAUGAGCUGCCUUCCAGCUUCUCCUGGGGAGCAGAGAGCCUGGACUGGAAACUGUACCCUACUCCACCCCCAGCCUCUCCGUGAUUGUGCCCCAGCCCCUGGACUACUGUGAACCUGGGGUUCUGCAGAGCCUCAACUCCCACUGCCACGUGGCAGGUGAAAAUCAAGAGCACCUUGUCUCUAGGGCAGCAUCCCUCAAUGGUGUCAUCGCCCCACCCCAUCCACAAUUUUGUAUCUUGGAUUCACGGUUGCAGAAAAAUGGUGUUUGUCUGAGUCUGAUGCACAAAUAUCUCUGUGGUGUGUAGAGUUAGAGUCUUUCGUGUCUGUGACCAAGGGUAGCAGAGCUGGGUCAUAGAGUAGUUCUGUUGCUGUUUUGUGAGGAAUCGCCGCCAUACUCAUUCCCAUCAUGGUUCCCCAAGUUCACACUCUGUUCCUCUUUCCCUGUAUCCUCAUUACGACCUGUCCUUUGUUUAUUUCACAGUGGCCGUUCUGACUUGGGUUAGAUGGGCUACAGCAGGUUUUGUAUGUGAUUUCCCUCUGGCUGAGGAAGUGGAGCACUGUUUCAAGUAUUAAUUAGCCAUUUGUACUUAGCAUCCCAUCAGGUCUGUGUGAUCAGACUAUGGUGGCCAUGGAAUAUUACAUGCCAUCACCUGGACCUGUCACAGCACCCCAGUCUGUCUGGUUUAUACAAGGCUUUCUGUGUGGCUUUCUCUAAUGGCAGAACCCACACAGGAUAGGACAACAGGAACUUGAGAACGGGACACAGUCCCUGUGGGCCAGGAGGCAGGACUUUCCAUCUCUCUCUGAGAAGCUGGGACCCAGAUAGGAUCCUUGCCCUCUGGAAAAGGCCAGCUGUCUGCACCUAGCAGAGCUUGUACCAGCAGAGGCAAGGGGCAGGAACCUAGGGCUUGGCCAUCCCUAGUGGUCUGGGAUGGGAUGCUGGCGGGCAGAAGGGACAGAUGAGCCUUGCCUCACCUGUUCAGGUGUCUAUCCAAGAUGGGCAGCAUGGGUAAAGCCAUGAUUGCUGGGUGGGGCUUGAUGAUAAGACAGUGUGAUGUGGCCACGGGAGAGGAUCUUCUCUUCAUGGGAGCAGGAGACCUAUGAGAAGGAACAUCAAUUGGAGGACAACCACAGGGCCAGGUUCCACAAGCUCCUACUCUGCCUUUGUAGAUCACUGACCCACACAUGUCAGUGCCAUGGCUGGAGAAAUGGCUGCAGAGGAAUAUCACCAGAGUCUGCAAAUCUGUCUCAGAGACAGUCCUUAAGAUCCCCAACCACAGUAAGGGGACCCGUACAGUGACUACUUAAGAUCCCCAACCACAGUAAGGGGACCCGUACAGUGACUACUUAAGAUCCCCAACCACAGUAAGGGGACCCGUACAGUGACUACUUAAGAUCCCCAACCACAGUAAGGAGACCGGGACAGUGACUACUUAAGAUCCCCAACCACAGUAAGGGGACCCGUACAGUGACUACUUAAGAUCCCCAACCACAGUAAGGAGACCGGGACAGUUUCUAGGACCACAGCUGUCCAAGUCCUUUCUCUGCACUUUCCAUAAAGUCCCACAUCCAUUUCUACACUUCUUGAGUGUUCAUCCCACCUGUAACCAGAAGUGUUCAGAAUACUAAGCACUGUAACAGGGGUAAAGACAAAGAGUCCCGUGCAAUGUCCCUGGAGGGAAGAUGAGCCUUUCAAAUGGGAGGAGGUGCCACUGGUGCCCCUCAUUUCAUGAUUCACAAGUAUUCCUGGAGAGCCACGUUGGCCAGCCCUCCCCAACCAGGCUGUCCCUGUACUCAGCGAAAUUAUUUUCCACCGAGAACGUGACGAUAGACUUGCCAGAAAACAUGAAAUGUGAUGAAGGAAGUGGCAAAACUCUCGGGGCCGAGAAGAAGAUGAUUGUUGGCACACUCCUCUAGGGUCCAGGAGGCUGCAGAGGAGCACCAUGGAGCCCAGGGAAGGCUUCUCUGAAGAUAAUGAGCUGCCAGUCUUGCAUGGAAAACCUGUCUAGCAGACAGAGCUGUAAUGCACCAGGUCACUAUGGCAGAUGCCUCCGGUGCUAGUGGGACCUGCAUGGAGCCUGCCAUCCAUGGAGCCUGGAACUUAGUGUAACAGGGGGAAGAAGGAAGGAACUAGGGAGGAGGGUACAGGGGUGAGCAGCUCUCCCCAUCAAGGUCUGCUCUUGUUCACAGUGGUGUGGGGAAGCAGGAAGAUCUGAAGUCUAGGCAGUGCCCAGAGUCACACUGACUCAUUUCUCCCUGACGGCUGUGUGUGGGCAGUUUUGCUGAUGUGGAGGGCAUAAAGAUGAGCAGGGAGCCAAUUUGCUAUGGGCCUGCCACCUGACCGUCUGUCCCCCAUGAGACUGCAGUAUGUUGUUCCAGACUGAAGCAGAGUCUGUGGGCUAAUGCAUGGAUUCCCAAGGAAUUUUACAGUAAAAGAGACAGCAUGCACUAGUGCCUUAAAGGGAGUCACUGAGCAAACCUCAGAAGUGCCAGACAGUAUUUGUGAGUGAUGGGUCAGUCCACAACACUGUGCCUUCCUCUUCUUUGUGACUCCCCCAUCAGGCUUCUCCAAAGGAUAAUGGAUAGUGAGCAUUGAUCCAGGAUGAAGAUGAAACAGUGUUGGAGAAGCAUCGCCGUAUCCUCCCUCUCCAUAUGUACCUGGAGACACCAUGCCGUGUCUAGGCGGUUUCUGGGGCCACCGACUCUCAAAUGCCGGGGAACCUUUAAACUGUAAUGCCGUUGUGUUCCCUGCAUUCCCACCAUGGUCUUCUAACAGGUCACUCCUUUCCUCCAAAUUCCCAGCUGGACUCGGUGGCCAGAUUCAUCUGUAAAGGUGACUUAUUACAUCCUUGGCCUGGCCUUAAAUGGUCAGAAUGGCUGCCUGUUGCACGUUGACUCAGUGCAAACUUCUUGGCAAGGCUGAAAUAAGAUGAGCCCUUGCCAAAAGACCCCCUUCUGUCCUCUCAAUACCCUGGCCAAUUGAGCUCUGGGAGAAUCCCAUGACACUGCUCUCGGCUGUGAGCCCUGCUCUUUCUGAGGGCUCCCACCGUCUUGAAAUAGUAGACCACUUUUUAAAGUUCGAUUGUUACAACAGGUCUCAGAACACAUGCUCAGGCACCUGUCAUUCAGAAAAGAUCUACAACACAAAAACACUUUGUUUUUCAGUCCAGAUGUUUUGGUCCUGUGAGAUGACAAAAGACAAUAGAUAAACAAUCAAAUUACUACCCCCUUUGUGACUCUUUGCAAUUCAUUCUCCUGUGCUGUAUUUAUUUUAUUUAUUUUACUCAUUUUACAUACCAACCACAGAUCCCUGUCUCAUCCCUCCUCAUGCUCCCCGCCCCACCUAGCCCACCCUGGUCCAUCCCUCCUUCCCUCCUCCAAAAGGGUAAGUUCUCCUAUAGGGUUUUCCCAUGAGGGGAGGGACAGCUAAGUCUGGUACGUUCAGUUGAGGCAGGACCAAGCCUCUUUCCCCUGCCAUCAAGGCUUAGCAAGGUGUCUGAUCAUAGGUAAUGGGAUCCAGAAAGCCAGAUCAUGUACCUGAUCAUCACUGCCAGGGACCCCUCAAACAGACCCAGCUACACAACUGUCUCCCAUAUGCAGAGGGUCUGGUCCAGUCCCAUGCAGGUUCCACAGCUGUCUGUCUAAAGUUCAUGAGUUCCUAUGAGCUUGGUUCAGUUGUCUCUGUAGGUUUCCCCAUCAUGAUCUUGAUGCACCUUGCUCAUAAAAUCCCUCUUCCCUCUCCUCAGCUGUACUCCUGGAAUUCAGCCUGGUGCUUGGUUGUGGAUCUCUGCAUCUGCUUCCAUCAGUUACUGGAUGAAGGCUCUAUGAUGACAGUUAGGGUAUUCACCAAUCUGAUUAGUGGGGUAGGCCAGUUCUCGGACCCUCACCACUAUUGCUAGUAGUCUAAUGUGGGGUCAUCCUUGUGGAUUCCUGGGAAUUUCCCUAGCACCAGGUUGCUGCAUUGCCCCAUAAUGUCUCCCUCUCUCAAGGUAUCUCUUCCAUUGCUCUUCCACUCCAUCCCUCCCCCAGCUUGACUAUCCUGUUCCCUCAUGUUCUCAUCCCCCAUCGCCUCUCCUCUAUUGUCCCCCCCCAUCCCCAGUUUACUCAUGGAGAUCUCCUCUGUUUCCCCUUCUCCUUCCCAAAGUGAUUCUUAAGUUCCUCUUAGGGUCCUCCUUGUUUCCUAGCUUCCCCGGAGCUGUGGGUUGUAGUCUGAUUGUCCUUUGCUUUAUGUAUCUAGUAUCCACUUAUGAGUGAGUACAUACUGUGUUUGUCUUUCUGAGUCUGGGGGUGGCUCAGUGGUUAAGAGCACUGACUGAUGUUCCAGAGGAACUGGAUUCAAUUCCCUGUGCCUUGUUUCAUAGAGUGGACCCUGGGUCUCUUCUGGGUGAGUCUAUAGUGAGAAGUAAGAUCUUGGUCUAUCACUAUCUAAUCAUCCUAAUUCUCUUCCUCUUUCUCACCCUCCUCUCUUAUUUUCUCUCUGUCUUCCCCGCUCUACCCCCUUCAUGAGGUUGGAAACCCCUUUGACUCUUUGGUGUUGGUCCUGCCUGAGCAGCCAGGGCUCACAAAAGGAUGACACUCAGCCUCAGGGUGGGCAGAAGAUAUGAAGAAGCAUGGCGUUCUGGCAGCUCUAAUGCACUGCUGACCACCUGCUACCUGAGGGCAUGGAGAAGAUGGACCUGGGAACAAAGCUGACUUGGCGGCAGGAUCUUAGAGGCUAAGACGUAACCAGUGUGUACUUGAGUUCCUUCCUGAAGUUGGAAUUUUGGAAACUCUCCAGAAGGAUCCUGGCAGUUUCCUUCAGGACGGUCCCUUUGCCCAAACCCUGCUUUGAAACCAACAGCGAAAAGUGAUCAGGACUGAGGGUUUUGUCCCAGCUUCCCCCGUAUUCUUUUUUCUCGGGGAACCAAUUCACCUUCCAUCACAUGCUUCCAGGUGUCCCUGGACCUGUGUGUCAUAACCACGGGCCACAGUGUACCUAAGAUGCAGCAAAGGCCAUGGCUUAGGAGAGGUGCUUACCUUGGACAUGUUACUGUAUGUUCUUUUCUUUUCCUUACCUUUGCAGUCCUGGGCUGUACAAAGGGAUAUUUAUGAGCAUGAAAAGUGGUCAUGUACGGCCAACGUUUUUCACCAAUGCCUGGCAUGCAUUCAAUGCCCAAUACAAUAGACUGUUGAUUAAUCUCAUCUCCCUCUGUCCUGAGGAUGUCUUGUUCAUCUGGUUUUCAAAGCCAGUGACUUUUCUUUCUGGCAACCCGGGAUGCCUGGAACUUUCUCUCUGACCAGGAUCAAAGUGUCAGCACAGAGAGAGUCUGACCUCCUGGCUUCAGUCCUUGGUUAAGGCCACAUUUCACUCCAGGCCACUGCCUGUUUCUCUGGCCUGAACUCACUUAGCUAACCCCCUCUGUGGACCUUUUCCCAACCAGAGCAACUUUAGGAUCCGCUGAUUUCCCACCCCCGCCAGGGUGUCCCAGGCUUUUGCAAAUGAGCCUAUGAAAGCCUGGUGCUUUUGUCCUCAAGCAAAGCACCCAACAGGUGUGAGCCACCCAGCUGCUCAAAAGAAUAUGUAUGGGUCAGGAAUGUUUUCUGUCUUCUCUUUCAGAAUCUCACUGGGACACAUCUGGACACACUUCACAAAAGGUAAUGCUUUGCUGCGGUACAAAUGUACUGGGUGCCUUUUGCUGCUGCCAUGUCCUCCUUGCAACAAUAUCCCCGAUGUCUAAGACUAUGAAGUGACAGUUCAUGGCCUACCAAAAUGUGAGUACUGUAAGUUGUUGUUCAUUUCAGGAUCGGUUCUGCCUAACAGACAGAUCCUCGACUCUCCCACAGUGUGGUGAGACCUCAGUCAGUCCAGAGCCUUUCACCUCCUCUCUACCUCUACCGUCCAGAAGGCAGAAUGAUAGGAGGUACAGAAUGAUAGGACUCUCUUGGGAGUGUGUAUCUUAUUCUUUUUUUUGUCCCGGGAUCUUCUGAAAGGUGAGUUUAAUUUAGACUCAAUGCAGCAAUCACCAAAUACACUUUCUGUAUCUGUCUCCUAUGCAUGCAAGUCCUCAAAAGGCAGGCAGACUAAUAUCAUUAAAUAUUCAGCCUGUAACCAAGCGCCUAUGGAACUGGUGUUCAUACCAUCUCUGCUUUACCUUUGACAACAUUUUGGUUCCGUGUUGUUAUUCAAGCACUGGCCUGAGUGCAGAAUCUGGGAUAUGAUUCAACACAAGGCAUUCUUGUUUCACUGCUGGUGGUGGAGACCAUGUUCUUCUGCUCUGUAGGAACCCAUGCUGUCACUACAAAGGCCACAGCUGCACAGGCAGUUAAUGAUUACCAGCCCCCCCAGAACCCAGAUAUUCUGUGUUAUGGAGAACCCAGGGAGCUGUAGUGUUUACUGCUUUUCCUGCCCAUACAAAUCCCCAGUUGGCCCUUUCCAUGCCUCUUGCUUAUGGAUCAAGAUCCCAGCUCCCAGCUCCUGCUCCAACACCAUGCUUGCCUGCAAGCAAACUCUUGUAAACUCUUGCAUAAGUGCCUUGGUCAUGGUGUUUUCUCACUGAAGUAGAAAAGUAAUCAAGACCCCACACACACACCUUUAGUAGUAGCCUGUCUGUAUUUCUCAUUUGGAAGCCGCUUUCCUCUUUGUGAGCCUUUCAUAUGGUUUUUUCUUGGAGUUCAUUCACUUCCCUGAGCUGUGGUUUUCUCAUCUUGCCUCCUGUUUGUACCGUUUCUAACAUAGUUUCUUCUGAUGGUGUUGCAGCCCUCAGUCCCUCUUCCUUUUUUUCAGAGACAGCAAUGGCAGACAAGUCCAGCGACUUCCUGUUUCCCCACUGUUUAAUGAGUUUCUAGGUGGUUUUUCUUCCCUUGACUUUUUGAGGCUGUAUUGAGAUAUUUCUGAUACACAACAAAAUAUGCCACUGGGUAGGUUCGACAAGUGACACCUAGAAUGUUCACUGUAGCUAAGAACAUGUUCUCAAGCCCUUAGCAAUGCUUCCCUCUCCCUCACCCUGACACUCUUUUCCCUGUCUCUAGGCAAACACAGAUACGCUUUCGGGAAAAUGAGGGCUUCUUUGUAUUUUCUGGAAUUGUGCACAAAUGCUGAUUGUCAAAUCCUCACAGAGACACACAUCCCACGGUGGAAUGGAGCUCAACCCUACAAUCCAGUUCUCUGGACACCAUCAGGCAUCACAAGCAGCUGCAAUCAUUUAGGGUCAAGAUGGCUGGAUCUUUUGCUUCUUUCCUCUCCUGAUGGGUUUUGACUUUCCAUGAGCCCCUUCCUCAGGCUGCUGCCACAUUGUCCUCUGAAUCGUUACUGUCAGCAGAUUUGGUGAGUCAAUUGGGAUUUCUUAAAGGGAGGAAUUAGUUACAAAAAGUUUUUUCCCACAUUAAAAAAUGAGAAACAUUUUUACAAUGGUGGGGGAUUGGUCUCUGUUUGAUAAUACAAUAACAAUUGAUGGUUUAAAAAUGGAACAAUUAAAUGAGAGGAUAAUUAAUAUUGAUGGGAUAGAUGUAAUGUCAAUUAUAAAUAUUAUUUGUUUCAUCAUUUAAAAAGUUGGUUAAUAUGAGUAUCAAGAUAAAAGUUUUUAGAAAAACUUGUUAAAACAGAUCAUAGAGAUAUACAGACCCAGACAGAAGAAUUUAAAGGAGAAUCAAUCUUAACAUUGCAUUCUAAGGUUAGAGAGAAACAGCCUAAGGCUUUCAAACAGCCAACCUUAAUCUAUCCAGCAACCUUACAGGAACUACCCAGUAACAGAUAUCCUCAAGGCUGUGCAAGAGCUGACUGGACUCCUGUGCAACUGUUAGAUUCACAGAAGAAUAGUCUCAUAUGGCAUCAACUCAUCUUUUGUGAAGCAGAUGUUAAACUCAUGGUCAACUUGUAAUAGAAUUAUCCCUCAAGACUGGAGAUUUGGUUACGGCAAUUUUGGAGGAUGAUUCCCAACUACAAUGGAGGACCUGGUGGGAAAAUGAGGCUGAGACCAUUGAACAAUGAAGAAGACAUUUUUGGAGAAGACAAUUAUGCUGAUAUACAAUCUUUAUAUGAUAACCACACCCUGGCUUUAUGCCACAUGGAAGCCUUGAAUGCUAGGGCAGAAUUGAAGAAGUAGGAAAGAAAAUUGAGUCAUUUACUAAAGUUAUACAGGGUCCAAAAGAAACCUUCACUGAUUUCUUACAAAGACUGACUUCAGCUGUAAAUAGAAUGAUACCAAAUUCAGAAGCUAGACAAGUAAUAAUUGGACCUCUGGCUUUUGAAAAUGCUAGUGUACAAUGCAAAAGGGUAACUAGGCUGUUAAAGGCAAGAUCAGCACCCUUGGAAGAAUGGAUCUGAGAUACAAUAAAUAUUGAAUCUCAUGAUCAUGAUGAUGCUUGGAUAGGAAAGGUGAUUUCCUAGAGGUUUGAAGAAAAAUAGUAAGGUCAAAUGUCCCUAAGAAGGGACUAUAAAAAGGAUGUUUCUAGAAACAAUGUUUUUUCAAGGAAUAAUCCUAACAGAAUGCCCCUCCCUUCUGGAUUAUGCAGAAGGUGUGGCAAAGUCAGACAUUGGACUAACAAAUGUAGAUCAACAAGGGACAGACAAGGUAAUCCUUUGCCUUUGCUAUUGGGAAAUUCCCUGAGGAGCUUCUUGCAGGCCCACAUGUCAAAUUCUUUUCAGUCCUUUCCUGUUGUUGUGGAAGAAACUCCUUCUCAGAGCAAUUAAAGAACCUAAUGCCUAUUAUAAAAAACAUACUGCUCUGGAUGAUAGAACAGCUAUAAAAGAGAAAUCAAAAAAUUCAGGAGAAACCAUAAAUCAAAACUGAUAAAGAUUAGAUUUGGAAACCCCCUCAAAGUUAGGGUUGGGGAAGGAAUUUGUUGUUGUCAUUCCAGAAAAAGAAAAACAACCAUCUUGAAGAAUUUAAAGACCUUUGGAUAUAUAAGCAUCAAAAAAAGAAGGAAGAACUACCCAGAAAAAAAAACUACCAAGAAAAGUGAUAAUCUGACCCAAUGUGAUCUUUGAAGUCUCCAAAAAGAUGGUGGGACCUCACAAUGAUGAUUCCAUCAGGGCUAUGGUAAUGCCACUAAGCUGACAAAUACCACCUAAAGAUUGGCUUUGGACUACUCAGGACAAUAUCGAGAUGGCUAGCUGAGAUGAUACAGCCCCACAGACUACUCCAAUCAAGACUUGACCAUAAUUCUAAAUUUUCUUUGUGUCCUAUAAAACUACCAGCACCCCAUAUCAGCAGGAAGUAGCCUAGAACACUACGCCCACAUUCCCAAAAAUGCAUUAUGGAUGUUUGUCUUUGUUUAGUGGUUGGUUAAAAAUUGUUAUUGGUCAUAGUCAAUCUCUUUAUAAAAGAAGAAAGGGGGAUAUGAUAUA